rnacentral:rRNA from 1 species
GCUACCAUGCAGUCGAACGGUGAUGGGGAGCUUGCUCCUCUGAUCAGUGGCGAACGGGUGAGUAACACGUGAGCAAUCUGCCCUUGACUCUGGGAUAAGCGUUGGAAACGACGUCUAAUACCGGAUACGACCUUGGAAGGCAUCUUUCUUGGUGGAAAGAAUUUUGGUCAAGGAUGAGCUCGCGGCCUAUCAGCUAGUUGGUGAGGUAAUGGCUCACCAAGGCGACGACGGGUAGCCGGCCUGAGAGGGUGACCGGCCACACUGGGACUGAGACACGGCCCAGACUCCUACGGGAGGCAGCAGUGGGGAAUAUUGCACAAUGGGCGAAAGCCUGAUGCAGCAACGCCGCGUGAGGGACGACGGCCUUCGGGUUGUAAACCUCUUUUAGUAGGGAAGAAGCGUAAAAGUGACGGUACCUGCAGAAAAAGCACCGGCUAACUACGUGCCAGCAGCCGCGGUAAUACGUAGGGUGCAAGCGUUGUCCGGAAUUAUUGGGCGUAAAGAGCUCGUAGGCGGUUUGUCGCGUCUGCUGUGAAAACCCGAGGCUCAACCUCGGGCCUGCAGUGGGUACGGGCAGACUAGAGUGCGGUAGGGGAGAUUGGAAUUCCUGGUGUAGCGGUGGAAUGCGCAGAUAUCAGGAGGAACACCAAUGGCGAAGGCAGAUCUCUGGGCCGUAACUGACGCUGAGGAGCGAAAGCAUGGGGAGCGAACAGGAUUAGAUACCCUGGUAGUCCAUGCCGUAAACGUUGGGAACUAGAUGUGGGGACCAUUCCACGGUCUCCGUGUCGCAGCUAACGCAUUAAGUUCCCCGCCUGGGGAUACGGCC